ACAGCAGCAGCCGCGGGAAUACGAAGGGGGCUAGCGUUGUUCGGAUUUACUGGGCGUAAAGGGCGCGUAGGCGGGCGAAUAAGUCAGGGGUGAAAUCCCAAGGCUCAACCUUGGAACUGCCUUUGAUACUGUUUGUCUUGAGUUCGAGAGAGGUAAGUGGAACUGCGAGUGUAGAGGUGAAAUUCGUAGAUAUUCGCAAGAACACCAGUGGCGAAGGCGGCUUACUGGCUCGAAACUGACGCUGAGGCGCGAAAGCGUGGGGAGCAAACAGGAUUAGAGACCCCCGUAGUCCCUGUCUCUUAUAA
rnacentral:rRNA from 1 species